AGUUGUCUUGCUACUAUAGUUUUGAUAUCCUUGUAUGCUUGCAGUUGUACAUUACAGUAGCGGUAGUUGUGUUUUCAUAUAUAUAUCUCAUUCGUUCAUUAUCGUUGCUACUGUAUUUUACUUACCCAUACUGUUGUUUAUCUCUUCCUGAUCCGGUGAGUACUCCUCGCCUUCUUCGGCUUGCGGUACCCACUGGGAGGGGAGACAUGUUUACAUGUUCUCACCUCCCCCACUAUUUUUCAGGUAUUACAGGCGUUGAGUUUUGGGACGAGACGUGAGGUACGUUCGUAGCGGUCGAUAGAGCUUCCGACCCAGAUUAUCGGUUUAGUUUUAUCCCUACUAUUCUGUUGUUAUAGCUUAGUCAGUUUAUAUGGUUCAGUAUUUUUAUUACAUUGGAAUAUGUGGACUUUCAUGAAUAUAAUAAAAGAAUUUCUGGAUUUGGUAAAAUAAAAGGUUUUCUACCCCUCGUGGUAGCUUUUAUAAAAGAUAAAAGUUUUCGCGUAUGGAACAGUUUUUAAAAGGUUUUUCGUGGACUUUUGUUUAAACAUCGAAUGUAAAGCUACGGUGUGAAUGAUGAAUGUAUGAAUGUAUAGCUAUCUGUAUAUUCAUUUAGUUGUGGUUGUAUACUGUUUGUACUUUUGUACUUGUGCGACGCCGUGCAAAUACAGGGGAGACUCUGUCCGUGUGAACAGUGGAUUCCCUGCAUUUGUGGCGGAUCUGACAUACUCUGGGGUCAGGUGUUUCAAAAAAAAAAAAAUUUAGUCGUUUCCGCUGUUUUUCCAAACUAAAAAGGGACCCCGGGGCGUGACAUGAUCAAAAUAUAUCUCACUACCAGAUAGAAUAGAACCUAUGGGGUCACACACAUAAGAGGUUCUGAUUGAUCGGAUAGCUAGAUCACGAUUAUUAAAUCGCUAGAGGACCUAAUUGUCAAUAUGUUGAUAAUUGGACUAAUUUAUAAUUGUUACAAAUUAGUAGUAUUAAAGUGUAAAUGUUACAAGAGACGACUUACUAAUAGUUAGUAAAUUAUAAGAGGACUUAUGUGCAAAUGUUGCAUUAUUAAUUUGAUAAGAUCAAAUUAAUAUAAAAUUCAAGUCGAAUCAAAUUAGGAUUUGAUCAAUCUAACCAAUUAAGGAAAGAAUAAAUUUAAAUCUAGAUUUAUACUUAUCCUUAAUUGUCAUUAUAUUAUUAGGAAUAGGAUUAUAUUCCUAUAUAUAAUAUACGGGAGUUUUUAGAAAAGCCUAGCCUUCAUCUAUCCUCUCUUCUCUCUUCCAUCUUCUAGCAAGAAAGACGUCCUUUUGCAAGGGAGCUAACACCCCGGUGAGGACUUCGAUCAAAUCAAGAACCUCGUGUGGAUAACUAUAGAGGCCGGACGCGUGUGCGGCUUCAAGAGAACCCAAUUUCACGAUCAUCAAAUUGAGGUGAAGAUCUAUCCGCGAAAAAGGUAAAGAUUCGAUCUUACUUUUCUUCUUUAAUCUUAAAGAACAUGAGGGACCCCAAUUGCGUGGUUUUUGAGAUUGGAUCUUAAGAGUUUUCAAAAAUCAAAUUUGUUUGAUUUCUUUUUUCGCUGCGUUUUUACCGUACGCAAUUUUCUAACAGAAGGCGCAUGCUUUCCCGCCUCCGCUUCGCCGCGGCCUCUCCCACCUCAGCCGUGGCCUCUCCCGCCUCGGCAGCCGCUCCUACUUCUCGCCCGCGUCCGCUCUACCCUUCCUCCGCCUCCACCUCUGCCCUCGCCCGCUCUGCUAUCGAUGAGGACGACGGCGUCGUUGCCCUCGACGCACGUGAUGUCACUGCCAAUAAUUUGAAUUGACAUAUGAACUUACUAUAUAUUAGUGGCGGGUAAAGCAUUAAAUAUGUGUAGAAAACCUGUGUUCCCCGAGUAAUGUGUUUUACACUUUGAAAUGGAGGGACUCGUGAGAUUAAUAUUAAUACAUUGGCUUUCAUUAGAACCUUGGAAUUUUAAGUUCUUCUAAACUUGCAACUACAUAUUGGAAAAAAUUUCAAUUACGAAACUACUUGUUAUGUGAAAGUUAUUGAGUAUAGGAGAGAAGUGUACAAAACAAUGACUAUGAUCAUUACAAAGAUUGAUAUGAGCAAAUACAAACCAGAAGUAUUUUGUGUACAAUAAAAAAAUAAGGUCAUAAGAUAAUUAUGCUGCUGCUCAAUCAAGCAAACAAUGUUUGUGAAAUAAAUAAAUAAAUCACAUACUGAUGUAACAAUCACGUGACUUACACCUUCGUUGAUAUAAGUCAUCGCAUUGUCCGAAUUGAUCCCACCUCCAAGUUGCAUGCCACCUAAAGUCAGGACAAUUUACGUUCAUAUAGGCAUGGAAUUAAACAGACAAAGCUUCUACUCCAAGCAAAAAAGUGCUAGAGAAAGUACAUCAAAAUCUAUUAAGAGCAUCAUUGUAACAUUAUUUUACCACGGAUAUACAAAAAUCAUAGGCUAUGAUGGAGCAGCAUAAUGGAAAAGGUUACCAUCAUUGUAGGGUCUAGGAGGAGCAGCCUAUAGUUGUCUCUAGGGAGGUCAUUUGCAUCAUUCUAAUCCACAAAGCCGAGGAAACUAAUAAAAUAGAAUAAAAAUAUCCUACUCCUAUUACAAAAAGCUUCUUAAUGCUGGAAAUAGUAGCUUGUUCGACUAAACGAAUUAGGUCUUCGUGUCAUUCACACAGUAACAAUUCACUAAGGUUCCAAUUUUGCAAAUAGUCAGAAUUAUGACAAACUACAAUCCAUUACAUCUUUAAUCCGGAUUGAGAGAACGGAAGAUUUUUCUACUUUACACCUACCCGAGCGAGGACUUUUUUUACUUUCAGAAGUUCAAGCAAGAAGAACCCAAAGUUUGCUCACAGGAUGCAAACUAUAAGCCAUUUGAUUGCGCGCAACUACAAUUAACUAAUAAUAAGAACUAUGCAUUUACAAAAUCAGGCAAACUAGUUUGGUCAAAUCUCGAUAUUGUGAAUUUAGCAGCUUACUAUCUUCCACAGUUUUUAAAUUCAACUAUUCAUUAAUGCGGUGUUCAGUUGCUAUGAAUCUGUAAGGACUGAGAUUUUUACAGUGCAACUAAACUCUCUGUUGACGAUGUUUAUAUGUGUAAUUUAAUUACAUAAGCACUCGUCAAGUUUCAGGAGAAAAUGAGCUCAAAUGGAGAAGUUACACGAUCUUUUAAAUUUCACUUAAGUGAAUAGUAACUCCGGUUUUUCGGAGAGGCCAAGGCGUGAAGUAGGCUUCUGGCGCGUAUCGGACUCCGUUCAUAGCGAUCCAAUAGCUCGUUUUGAUCAGUUCAGCUAUUCUGGAACCAAUGGCACUGACGGAUUUCAGAUCUGAGGCACGGUUUUCGAGAAAAAGGAAUUUUAUCGAAAAAAGGGUUUUCGCUCUUUGCUGUUCUUGCAUAAUGAGACUCCUCAUGCUCUACGUUUGUGACCUGGGGUUAGGUGAGAGUUGUUUCUGGUACCUACUGGUGGUAGGGAAUUCAAAUUUGAAUUUGAAUUAUAGGUUUUAGGGUUUAUACAUAGGUCUAUGUGUAAUUUGUGGAUUAGUUGGAGAGCAGAUGGGUUUGGUCGCAAAUCGGCAAGUAAAUCGGAUGAAACGAAAUCGCAGUUUCAUUGCCUUCGUCGUGCUGAACGCGAUGGUGCAAUCCGUUCGGAAAUCCGAUAAACGGAUUGCCGGAUAUUGCAUGAAGUUCGCUAGGGGGUCGAGAGUGGAAAAUCGGGAAAUUCGCAAAAGUCGUAAUAUUUUAUGUACCGUAUCGCGCGAGAUCGAUUGUGGAGGUGUAAAAGCGCGAUUGUUACCCACUAUGAAGGACUGGGUAAGAAAUACCAAGCUUCGGUGGACUUUUGUGCAAAAUUGCACUUAGUAUACAAUGUGCAUCUAGGGUUUCUAUGCACGAAACCCUAGAUCUGGCCGACCCUGUCUCCCAGCUGUGCCCUAACCGCCAUCUGCAGGUCCAUGCCCUAGCAGUGCGCGCAGUCCGGCCGCCGGCGAGCUUCCCCGGCCGCCGGAAACCUGGAUCGGCCUCUCCUCUACCAUCAUCUCCACCUAGCCACCACAUUCGUUGGUCCUUGAGCUCGGGGGGUCACCAUCCACGUCGGGACUCCACCCUCCAGCCGAGAACCUUCUCCAGCAUCAUCGCCGCCGGCCGCCGCCGUCCAUGCGUGCCGCCGGUGCCGCCUGGGAGAUCGGUAGCUACCCGCGUUUAGCUCAGACCGAGCCCGGGUGGGCUCUGGGCCCGCGCGCCGCCGCCACUCCAGAUCGGCCGCACCGACCCCCGGAAUCUCCGGCGAACCUCCGCGCGUCAUCGCCGCCGCCCCCGAGGUCGCCGGCCGCCGCUUCCGCUCUCUGCGCCCGCCCAGACCUGGUGCGGGCCGAGCUUGAGCCCGCAGCGCCUCCUCACAUCGCCGCCGCCCACCGUCGGGCGUGCGACCGUCCUCGACCUCCGGCGACGUGCCGCCGUCCCCCCAACCUUCCUCUGGCCGCCGCCAUGGCCGCCGCUACCUUUUGGAGCCCGUGGUGAACCCGUGCGGGCUCGGUUUGGUCCAGCACCGCCGCAGCCGCGUUCCGCCGCCGAACGGCGUGAGCACAGGUCCCGGAUGGUCGACCGCACUCGUCCGCCGUCGUCGCUCGCGCCGCCGGAGCUCCCCGUCGGCCGGAGCGAACCCGUGUUCUCUUCGGGUUUGGGUGCCUAGGGCAUCAUUGGCCGUCGUCGCCGCCACAUCCCGUCGCCUGCUGACGCCAGCCCGGGCCACCUGGGACCUGCCGCACCUGCCCCUGGCCGGCCUGCCCGCCGUCCGGUCGCCGCCGGCCACCCCGAGCCCUGCCUAGCUCCGGUAAGCUUGAUUGCAGCCUUUCUGCGCAUAGUUUUCUGUUUGGAUGACUGUUCCGGCGACCCGAGGCUGUUCCGAUGCCUCCGGAAGUGAGCACGGUGAUCUUCAGUCAGUACUGAUCACAGUGCUCACGUCAAUUGGGGUCAGUGAGCCCCUGGUUAGCGAGAUAAGCAUGUUUUUCAUGCUGUGCGCGCAGUUCACUGAAUUUCGCGUCGCUCGUGCGCUCCCCACAGUGGCCGGAAUUGCUCCGAAAGGUGAGCACGGCCUCCGGCAUGCCGAGACCUGUCAGUAGGUGUCUCGGUUUGGCUUAUUGACUCCUAGUUUGCGUGGACGGACCAUAAAAGUGCCGAAAUCGCAUGAAAUAAUGCGAUUUCGGGUAAUCGGGAGGGCUUUUAUGUAUUUUAGGUUGUUGCGGCUGCUGUUGGCAGCAUGGAUGAAUUGUGGGUAACCUCUGGACUGAUUGUCCAAGGCCCCGGACCUUUGCGAAGAUCGAAAAUGUAUUUUCGGUGCGUUUUCGGCGAAAUCCGCCGACGGAACGCGGGUUCGGUUCGGAAUUAUUCCGACGGUGCUUCGUGAGCUUUUGUGUAGUCGCUAAGCCUUGUUGGCUGGUCACUCGCGUCAUUUCGAGAGUUCAGAAAUGACGAGUGAGCGACGGUGGGUUCCGGUGUCGAAAUUGACACUUCCAGGAACCCGGAUCCCAACAAUUAUCCACCAAUAGUUGUUUGGUUGUGUAUCCUUGUGUUUGUUGCCAUGUCACACUAAAAUAAGUGUUUAGAGGCAGCGAAUGACUCGUGGCAUGAGUCGGUGCCUUUCGGGAUAGUUAGUGGGUCCCGGCGGAGCCCCGGUGCGAUUUUCGGGACUUCCGGCGAGUUACGGUAAUCGGUAUUGGGAAACCGAUCUCCGUGGGAUUGUUUGUGGGUUAUGCUUUUAGGGUUUCUUAGCUGUGGGUUAGACACUAACCCAGUGGACCCUCCUUAGGUCCGGUUGACGUUCUUUUGCAGUCAGGAGACAGGCGCGACAGUUGUACAGGUGGGUACUUCGAUCCGACGUCGGUACAGUGGUGCACGCUCGGUGAUGGUUUCUUACCUUUGCUCUUUCGUUAUUAUCUAGCAUAUAUAUAUCUUGAUAUAUAGUGUUGAGCCUAGCACCAUGUUGUUCAGUUACACUCUACUCGGUUGUUCUCUUUAUAUCAUGAGUAGGAGUAGAGUAGUUAUACCAUAUUUCUUUGUUGCUCUACUUAGCUAUUCUGCAUACCCUGUUUCAUAUUUAUAGUAGAGCGAUUCUGUGAUUAUCUGUGAGAUUAGCGAUCUAGUCGGUCGAUUCUAGUAUUCAGUAUUUGUGACCUAUUCGGUGAGUUCCUCGACCUUUGUUGUCUGAUGACCGUUGAGGUCGGUAUACCCUGAGGGGUGGGAUUGUCGGUUAGUUGCCGACGGAUGAUUAUACUUUACUCAUAUCCUAUACUUGUGACAUGAUUGGUCGAGUUUCAUAUCCUAUACUUGUGACAUGAUUGGUCGAGUUUCAUAUCCUAUACUUGUGACGUGAUUGGUCGAGUUUCAUAUCCUAUACUUGUGACGUGAUUGGUCGAGUUUCAUAUCCUAUACUUGUGACGUGAUUGGUCGAGUUUCAUAUCCUAUACUUGUGACGUGAUUGGUCGAGUUUCAUAUCCUAUACUUGUGACGUGAUUGGUCGAGUUUCAUAUCCUAUACUUGUGACGUGAUUGGUCGAGUUUCAUAUCCUAUACUUGUGACGUGAUUGGUCGAGUUUCAUAUCCUAUACUUGUGACGUGAUUGGUCGAGUUUCAUAUCCUAUACUUGUGACGUGAUUGGUCGAGUUUCAUAUCCUAUACUUGUGACGUGAUUGGUCGAGUUUCAUAUCCUAUACUUGUGACGUGAUUGGUCGAGUUUCAUAUCCUAUACUUGUGACGUGAUUGGUCGAGUUUCAUAUCCUAUACUUGUGACGUGAUUGGUCGAGUUUCAUAUCCUAUACUUGUGACGUGAUUGGUCGAGUUUCAUAUCCUAUACUUGUGACGUGAUUGGUCGAGUUUCAUAUCCUAUACUUGUGACGUGAUUGGUCGAGUUUCAUAUCCUAUACUUGUGACGUGAUUGGUCGAGUUUCAUAUCCUAUACUUGUGACGUGAUUGGUCGAGUUUCAUAUCCUAGUUGAUCUGAGUGGUCAGUCCUUGUGGUUCAUUGAGCAGUAUUUGCAUAUGUUUGAGAGGAUGUCGAUGUUGUCCCAUCCUAGUUGACCUGAGUGGUCGGUUCUUGUGCUUCUUUACAGUUGACGACCUAUGCGGUCGAUGGGCCCUGGGGGGCAGGAUUGUCGGCUGGUUGCCGACGGUUGAUCAUUGAGCAUAUUGCAUUGAUCGCCCGAUACUCGUCGCAUUUCACGAACACUGGCGGUCUGAUCCACCGCAAGGAGUGUUCUUUUCCGGAAAAGUGGUUGAAUGGUGACAACCCGUGAGCCCUAGAGGGGUUAUAUGCACUGGAGAGUAGUAGUGGCACUGGCUUGAGGUCUGCGGUGCUGACCAAGAGAGCAUUGGUUUCAGAUUGGGUACUUUUGGACUUCUUGACCGGUUGACGCAUAUGUCUAUAGUAGCAGUCGUUGCAUGCAUACUUACAGUUCUUACUUUAUAGUUGUCUUGCUGCUAUAGUAGAUAUUCAUGUAUGCUUUCGGUUCCAGUUACAGUAGCGGUAGCCGUUAUUCAGUCUAGUUCUUACUUUCUUUCAGUUUAUUGCUACUGUAUUCAGUAUAUCUGCUCAUUACCUUAUACAUCUCUUUCGUUUACUAUUGUUCCUACUGUAUUUCCACUGACCCGUGUUGUUGUAUAGCUCUUCCUGAUCCGGUGAGUACUCCUCGCCUUCUUCGGCUUGCGGUACCCACUGGGAGGGGAGACAUGUUUACAUGUUCUCACCUCCCCCACCAUUUUUCAGGUAUCGCGGGCGAUGAGUAGUGGGACGAGACGUGAGGUACGUGUGUAGCGGUCGAUAGAGCUUCCGACCCAGGUUAUUUCGGUAUAGUUAUUACCCUUAUUAUUUCAGUUGUUAUAGCUUAGAUAGUUAUAUGGUUCAGUAUUUUUAUUACAUUUGAAAAUAUGGAUUUUCGUGAAUGUAAUAAACGGAUUUCUGGAUUUUGUAAAAUAAAAGGUUUUCUACCCCUCGUGGUAGCGUUUUUAAAGAAUAAAGGUUUCCGUGUAGGAAACAGUUUUCAAAAGGUUUUCUGUGGAUUUUGCAUCUUAGUAUUUCAAAACAUGUUUCUGUGGUUGGAAAUAUUUUAACUGAUAGAUGUGGAUUUAUGUUUACAUAUCGAAUAUAUAAAUGUGAACCUGUGAUGUGAAUGGUAUAUGAAUAUAUAAUUGUUGGUUAUUUGUAUGUUCAUUUGGUUGUGGUUGUACCUGGGUUACUUCUUGUAUUUGUGUGACGCCGUGCGAAUACAGGGGAGACUCUGUCCGUGUGAACAGUGGAUUCCCUGUGUUUGUGGCGGAUCUGACAUACUCUGGGGUCAGGCUUUUCAAAAAAAAAAAAAAAUUUA
rnacentral:lncRNA from 1 species